GACGAACGCUGGCGGCGUGCCUAAUACAUGCAAGUAGAACGCUGAAGGAGGAGCUUGCUUCUCCGGAUGAGUUGCGAACGGGUGAGUAACGCGUAGGUAACCUGCCUGGUAGCGGGGGAUAACUAUUGGAAACGAUAGCUAAUACCGCAUAACAGUAGAUGUUGCAUGACAUUUGCUUAAAAGGUGCAAUUGCAUCACUACCAGAUGGACCUGCGUUGUAUUAGCUAGUUGGUGAGGUAACGGCUCACCAAGGCGACGAUACAUAGCCGACCCGAGAGGGUGAUCGGCCACACUGGGACUGAGACACGGCCCAGACUCCUACGGGAGGCAGCAGUAGGGAAUCUUCGGCAAUGGACGGAAGUCUGACCGAGCAACGCCGCGUGAGUGAAGAAGGUUUUCGGAUCGUAAAGCUCUGUUGUAAGAGAAGAACGAGUGUGAGAGUGGAAAGUUCACACUGUGACGGUAUCUUACCAGAAAGGGACGGCUAACUACGUG
rnacentral:rRNA from 1 species